rnacentral:rRNA from 1 species
GCGAUGUUUGAUCCUGGCUCAGAUUGAACGCUGGCGGCAUGCUUUACACAUGCAAGUCGAGCGGCAGCGCGGGGGCAACCCUGGCGGCGAGCGGCGAACGGGUGAGUAACACAUCGGAACGUAUCCCGUAGAGGGGGAUAGCCCGGCGAAAGCCGGAUUAAUACCGCAUAUGCUCUACGGAGGAAAGUGGGGGACCUGCAAGGGCCUCACGCUAUGGGAGCGGCCGAUGGCCGAUUAGCUAGUUGGUGGGGUAAAGGCCUACCAAGGCGACGAUCGGUAGCUGGUCUGAGAGGAUGAUCAGCCACACUGGGACUGAGACACGGCCCAGACUCCUAAG